UUGAACGCUGGCGGCAUGCCUAACACAUGCAAGUCGAACGGUAACGCGGAGAGCUUGCUCUCUGGCGACGAGUGGCGGACGGGUGAGUAAUACUUAGGAAUCUGCCCAGUAGUCGGGGGACAACAUUCGGAAACGGAUGCUAAUACCGCAUACGCACUACGGUGGAAAGUGGGGGACCUUCGGGCCUCACGCUAUUGGAUGAGCCUAAGUCGGAUUAGCUUGUUGGUGAGGUAAUAGCUCACCAAGGCGACGAUCCGUAGCUGGUCUGAGAGGACGAUCAGCCACACUGGGACUGAGACACGGCCCAGACUCCUACGGGAGGCAGCAGUGGGGAAUAUUGGACAAUGGGCGCAAGCCUGAUCCAGCAAUGCCGCGUGUGUGAAGAAGGCCUGCGGGUUGUAAAGCACUUUCAGUAGAGAAGAAAAGCCUAGGGUUAAUACCCCUGAGUCUUGACGUAACCUACAGAAGAAGCACCGGCUAACUCCGUG
rnacentral:rRNA from 1 species